rnacentral:rRNA from 1 species
GAUGAACGCUGGCGGCGUGCCUAAUACAUGCAAGUCGAGCGAACGGACGAGAAGCUUGCGUCUCUGAUGUUAGCGGCGGACGGGUGAGUAACACGUGGAUAACCUACCUAUAAGACUGGGAUAACUUCGGGAAACCGGAGCUAAUACCGGAUAAUACUUUGUACCGCAUGGUUCAAAAGUUAAAGACGGUCUUGCUGUCACUUAUAGAUGGAUCCGCGUCGCAUUAGCUAGUUGGUAAGGUAACGGCUUACCAAGGCGACGAUGCAUAGCCGAGCUGAGAGGGUGAUCGGCCACACUGGAACUGAGACACGGUCCAGACUCCUACGGGAGGCAGCAGUGGGGAAUAUUCGGCAAUGGGCGAAAGCCUGACGGAGCAACGCCGCGUGAGUGAUGAAGGUCUUCGGAUCGUAAAACUCUGUUAUUAGGAAAGAAAAUAUGUGUAAGUAACUGUGCACAUCUUGACGGUACCUAAACAGAAAGCCACGGCUAACUACGUG